rnacentral:rRNA from 1 species
UACGUAGGGGGCAAGCGUUGUCCGGAAUCAUUGGGCGUAAAGCGCGUGUAGGCGGCUCGGUAAGUCUGCUGUGAAAGUCCAGGGCUCAACCCUGGGAUGCCGGUGGAUACUGUCGAGCUCGAGUCCGGAAGAGGCGAGUGGAAUUCCUGGUGUAGCGGUGAAAUGCGCAGAUAUCAGGAGGAACACCAAUGGCGAAGGCAGCUCGCUGGGACGUGACUGACGCUGAGGCACGAAAGCCAGGGGAGCGAACGGG